rnacentral:rRNA from 1 species
AUGGAGGAGCUCAAGCCGGAGUUCACAAAGGACGGCUCCGUCGACCUCCGCGGCCGGCCGGUCGUCGCCGCCCGGACCGGCCGCUGGAAGGCCUGCUCCUUCCUAGUCGGGUACGAGGCGUUCGAGCGGAUGGCGUUCUACGGGGUGGCGUCGAACCUGGUGGUGUACCUGACGACGCAGAUGCGGCAGGAGACGGUGCCGUCGGUGCGCAGCGUCAACAACUGGACGGGCACGGUGUGGAUGACGCCCAUCGCCGGAGCCUACGUCGCCGACGCCUUCCUCGGCCGCUUCUGGACCUUCACCGUCUCCUCCCUCAUCUACCUCUCGGGAAUGGUUCUGAUAACCCUGGCCGUCUCCCUGAAGCCGCUGCACCCGCAGUGCACGGCGGGCGGCGACUGCGCCCCGGCGACGCGGCAGCAGGUCGCCUUCCUGUACGCGGCGCUCUACACCAUGGCCAUCGGCGCGGGCGGGACCAAGCCCAACAUCUCGACCUUCGGCGCGGACCAGUUCGACGACUUCGACGCGCGGGAGCGCGAGGUCAAGGCCUCCUUCUUCAACUGGUGGCUGUUCAGCUCCUUCGCCGGCGGCCUCGUCGCCGUGCUCGUCCUCGUCUACGUGCAGGAGGAGGUCGGCUGGGGCGUCGGGUACACGAUCCCCACGGUCGGCCUCGCCCUGUCUCUCGUGUUGUUCUACGUGGGCACGCCCUUCUACCGGCACAAGCCGGUCACGCGGAGCACGGCGGCCGGCCCGGCGAGGCUGAUCGGCAAGGUGCUCAGGGUGGCGUACGCGAACCGGGGAUGCCCGCUCACCGGCGAGCUGCACGAGCAUGACAAGGCGUGGUACGCCGCGGUUGGGAAGCGGCUUCUGCUCCACACGGAGGGUAAUUUCAGGUGCCUGGACAAGGCGGCGAUCCGUGAGCGUGAGACGUGCACGGUGACCGAGGUCGAGGAGGUGAAGCUGAUCGCCGGCAUGAUCGUGGUGUGGCUGGUGACCCUGGUGCCCUGCACCAUCUGGGCGCAGGUGAACACCCUGUUCGUGAAGCAAGGGACGACGCUGGACCGGUCCGUCGGCGGCGUCCGCAUCCCGGCCGCGUCCCUGGGCAGCUUCGUCACCAUCUCCAUGCUGGUCUCGAUCCCGAUCUACGACCGCGUGCUGGUGCCGCUGGCCCGGCGGCGCACGGGCAACCCGCGGGGCAUCACCCUCCUGCAGCGCCUCGGCGUCGGCUGCGCGCUGCAGGUGCUCGUCGUGGCCUGCGCCUGCCUGGUGGAGGCCCGGCGCAUGCGCGUGAUCCGGGAGCGCGGCGCCCGCGGCCCCCACGACACGGUGCCGAUGAGCGUCUUCUGGAUGCUGCCGCAGUACGUGCUGCUGGGCGUCGGCGACGUGUUCAACUCCGUGGGCAUCCUCGAGUUCUUCUACAACCAGUCGCCGGAGGGGAUGCGGAGCCUCGGCACCACCUUCUUCACCAGCGGGCUCGGCGCCGGGAACUUCCUCAACAGCCUGCUCGUGACGCUCGUCGACCGGGCCACCGCCACCCGGGGGAGCUGGAUCGGCGACAACCUCAAUGACUCGCACCUCGACUACUACUACGCGUUCCUGCUGCUCCUCACCGUGGCCAACAUGGCGCUCUUCGUGUGGGUGGCCAUGAGGUACAAGUACAAGAGAGAGUUCUUGGAGGACAGCGGCGCAAUGGAGACGGAGAGGGAGACUGAGAUGGUGGCCGGCGGCAAGGCGAAGGCGGACCUGCCGCGUCUGCCUGACAACACAACAAGGGACAGAGCAUAUAUACUGGAGUAG